rnacentral:lncRNA from 1 species
ACACUUCAAGAAAUUUUAUGGACCAACUCUUAAAAGAAAAAUGACAAGAUCUAGUUGAAGAAGAAAUAAAAUCAAAGUAUAAUAAAAAUUGAAAAAAUAAUUUGGGGUCUAAAGGAAGAAUAUUAUAUACUCUAUUCAUCGUCCUUCGUUUUUCCACCAUCCCUGCGGCUACCUUCAACCACAACCCUAACCACCAUCGCCCAACCCAAACCCGAAAAAGGGUAACUUCUUCUUAUUCUUCUUCUUCUCUCCUUUUUUCUUAUUCUGAAUCUCAUUGCAUGUUUGUAUUUUUGAUGUUCAUGGUCUUUUACUUGUAUUUCUACUCUUGCACAUCAUUUGUUUGAUGAAAUGCUUCACUGUCUAAAACGAUUUCUUCAACGCACAUCUCUUUACUUGGGUGUUAUGUUUUCCCUCUCGUUCUUAGAUGCAAUUAUUGAACCACUGUUAUACUGUUAUUGCUGAUGAUUGAGGGAAUUCUAGAGCCCUUACUCGAUUAUCCAUUUGAGUCUUAGUCAAGGAAGAUCUACCUUUCAUCAACACACUUAUAAUAUAUAUAUAUAUAUAUAUGUAGCGAAGAUUCUUUACAAAAAGUUACCUAUAUAACUGAUUUUACAAGAUAUGUGGAAAGGGGCGCCAACGCCCAUGAUUGUCGUCGCUUGUCUUAGUCAUAAUGCUAAUCUUCUAUGUUGAUUCUCAGUAUAAUUAAGACAAUUGACAACAUGGUGGUAUUUUGUUGUUAUUGUUGCUUUUGGUUAAUUAUGUUAUGGUUUUUAUUUAAAAUUAUGAAGUUCAUGCGUGAUUAUAUUUUCAGCCAGUUUGAUGGAUUUUGUUAGAUAGGAUGUUGCUUAUGCUUGAGUUGCUUGGGGUCAAAUUGGCUGGUUUGUAUCCUGAUUAGUACUAAUGCUGAAUUGUAUUCUUAAUCUACAAUCUAAGUUAAGAGUUAGGGUCUGGUUUUCUGCUUUAUUUUCUAGAAGAGUAUAUAUCCUUGAUGUGGGAUUCAGUAAUCCACUUAGUUUGUUUCUUGAUCUGUCCAAAUAGUUAUUUACAUGUGCCUGAUCUGACUGCAAAUGUAAUGAAUUGGCUGUGCCCAAAUAAAAUUGCAAGACUUUUUUUGUUUAUUUUCUUCUGUUCUGAUCUGAAAUCACAACUGUCAAGUAUGGUUGCCAUCUGUGUUUUGUUUCCUGUUUCCGAUUUGGACCUGCUUUUGGAGCAGUGGAUGGUCUUCUUUGUUAAUAGAAUUAGUUUUUUUUCCGAUUUCUUAUUUUUCCCCCUUACCAAACUGGGUUUGCCAGAAGUCGCCAUAAAUUAGCUGUUCUUUACUCUAGUUUCCUUCUGUUAUGUGACUUGAGUUGUGCUCAACUGAUCCAUCCCAAAUUAUGGGGCCAUCUUUGUUUUCACUUCAUUUGAAUGCUAAGUUUAGUUACUCAGAGCCUCAGAGGCUUAGCGAUAACAAAUUGUAAUUAUGAAUGUCUUUAAUUUUGUGUAUAUUUUUAAUUUUAGCAUUUACACGUGUAUAUUAUUAAAUUUUAGCAUUUACACGCGUAUGUUAUUAAAUCAGUUAUAUUGUUUUUCUAAAUGUCCCAAUAGCCUAUCCCGUAUAGCAUUUUUAGUGUCGAUCGCUCUGCUCCACUUUUUGGGAUUGACUACUUAGAUCACCUCCUUUCUUCCUUUGCCCGCUAUAGCUCUAAUUUUAAGAUUUUGUAGUCUAUUAAGUUUCCUCAUCAUUUAGCUCUCAAGAACACCAUUUUAAGAUUUCAAUAUUUUGUUUUUCCAAAUUAUCUCUUCAAGAGUAUUGAAUUAUCAAAGUGAUGUUUGGUGCAUGUGGGGAUAUACUCUGUCUCUGCGAAUCGUCCUUGGCACCAAACCAAACACCUAAAUUUGACUAAUAUUACCAAUUUAUCAAACAUGCCAUCAGUUAUUGAUAUUCUUUGGUUGCAAAACUAUUAAUAUAUGUAGAGUAGAAGUAUUUUUUAAAUAUACCAAAAUGCAUCAUAGACAUCUGAACUCAGAAGUGGUUUUAUCACAGCAAGUCAUCUGUUUCUACCUGACAAAUAGAGUAACACCGUAAUGGGUUUACCUUUGUAAUUAUACUUUUCUAAGGUCAACCAUCUUUUUAAAUAUACAUGAUAUGAGUAUCUGUGACAUCAUUCAUUUGGUUAUUGAAACAUCAAAGAAUGCAAAAGGUUAAAAAAUGAAAUAGAAGACAAUGGACCCGGAUUUUCGGAUGAAACUUUGGUGAAUUGGGCAAAGCCUUUUUUGAGUGAUAGCAGAAGAGUUUUGAGAAUCAUGGAUACUAGGUUGGGUGGUCAAUAUUCCAAGAAAGGAGCACAAGCUGCAGCUGCACUUGCAUUGCAAUGCCUUGGCACAGAUCCAAAAUUUAGACCACCCAUGGUAGAUGUUCUAGCAGCAUUGGAAGGACUCAAUUCUUCAAAUACAAUGCCACCAAUGGCACAAAAAUCUGGAACUGAGAUUCGUGCAACCAAGCAUUCUGGUCAUUCACACAAUUAAAGUAUAUACAAACCUAGUAUGAGAUGAUUGUUUUGUUCUUUUUUCUCUUUUUGAUGCAUCUUUACAGUUAUGUAUUUUAGCUGUACAGUGUGGAAUUGGCUGGAUUUUUAUGAGAUUGUAAGAAUCUUGAAAGCUUUUAACUGUGCUACAUUCUAUAACAAACAACCAAUCUUUUAUCCCACUAGGUGGGAUCGACUACAUAAUUCUAUCAUAAAUCAUAUUCUUUGACAAAUUGAGCUCUAAGUCUUUUCUUAUCAUUUUCCCUAUGGUUUUCCUUGGUGUCCCUCUUCCUCUAAAUGUUGGAUUAGGUUCCAUUUGAUCUACUCUCCUUACGAUACUUCUAUCGGUCUAUUCCAUACAUGUCGAAACUUUUUAGAGUGUGACCCUAUCAUCUUUUCUAUAAUAGGAGUUAUUCUAACUUUCUCCUUCAUGCAUUCAUUUCUAAUCCUAUCUUCACUAGUGUGUUCACUCAUCGCAAUAUUUUUACUUCUACUGUAUAAAAUUUAUUUUCUUAUUGAUAUUUUAUGACCUAAUAUUUAGUCUCAUAAUAUUUAAGGUCAUACAACCAUGCGGUAAAACUUCUUCUUAAACUUGACUGAAUCUUAUUGGAGUGAACCCUCUUACUCAUUUUCAUUAUUAGGUGAAGAACAAAGGCCAAUUAAUAUUUUCAGCCAUCACAAUGAAACAGUAAGUUACAAUGGUUGGUUGUAAUUUCCAGUGAGAAAAUGCUUUUACUGUUGGUUGCGAUUUCCACCAAUAUUGUUAGAAUCACGACCAAUUGCUGGCCCGCCGCAUGGACAACCUCAGGUAUAAUUUGUUCAUCACUUUUUAUAUUAUUAUUACAAAAACUUCUUUUAUACGAUCCUGGUAUGUGAUAAUUGGUAUGUUGAACCUGAUACACGAUACAUAAACUAAAAAAUUAGAGACCAUAUAACUAUGGGCGGAAGAUUAUUAUGCUGCAUUUUCAACCCUUGGCACUUUCUUCAUUCUGCGGCUGUCGGAAACUCAUGUGAUGAUUCAUACUUGAGUAAACUAAGCAAAACAUAAGACACGUAGUGAAUAUGGAUAAAAACAAGUUCAGAGGGGAAGGAUGAACAAAUAUUAGGAUGCAUAUAAGAAAACAAAGUUGUACAUCACAAAUGCAUGUCACAAAGGUGAAUUAUAAUAUUACCAUUGGAUUGCACUGAAAAACAAUACAAGGUACUUCAUAUUAUCAAAAUAACAUGCAAUAAAUACAUUAAUUUUAAGAAUAAAAUCUCAUACCAGAAUUAUGCCAGUGAUUCUAGAUUUUGCCCCCACCAUUUUGAGCAGAUAACAUGAGCCGCUUAAAUAUAAAAUCAAUGCAUAGUAUUUGAAUUAUCCUGCGCUUUUUGAGGUACAUUAAUUAAACUUGGAUAACAUGAACGGAAGUACGUAACUAGGGGUGGCAAUACGGGCUAGUCUGACCCACUUUUGGCCUGCCAAAAUAUGGGCGGGCCCGAACCUUAUUGUUAAAAGGACUCAAAAUGUCAGCCCAACCCAUAUUUGGUAGGGCUGAGGCCGGCGGGCUGACCCAUUUUUUUCUCUUCAAAAUACAUAUUUAUAACCAACUCAAUUACAAUUUCAAAAAUAAGUAAUCAUCACAUCUCAUUUUCAUUUAAAACAAAAAAUCACAACCCAAAGUCCACAAUCUCACAAUAACUUACUAUCUUAAUUUAAAACUUAUAAGUUCUAAAUAACAAGUCAGUAUAAUCUUAAACUUUUCGUAGUUCAUAAUAAAGCUUCUAACUCCUAAAUUUUAAACAUUAGAUGUUUUGUUAGAAAAAUAUGUCUCCACUUUUCUAUUACUACCACCAUCAACAUCUUUCAAAUCUUCUUCCUCAUCAUCAUCUACAUUAUCAUUAUAACAAAUAUAUGAUAAUUACAUUCUUGAUCAUGAGUUGAUGAAAUUUUCAUAGGUACAUUCUUGUUAAUGAAAUUUAAUGUAUUUAAAUGACAAUUACAUUUUUAAUCUUUGGUUUCAUAACAAAAAGAAAGUCAUUAGAACAAAUAAUUUAAUCAUGAGUUAUCAUGAAGAGCUACAAUUAUGGGUGGCAAUACGAGCUAGCCCGCUUUUGGCCCGCCAAAAUAUGGGCUGGUCCGACUCACCCUUAUUGUUAAAAUGGCUCAAUUCCUCAGUCCGACUCGCUAAAAAUGAUAAUCCAAACGGGUCGACCCAUCGGGCCAAGCCCAUAUUGUCAUCCUUAAUUGUAAUCAAUGGGGAUUGCUCAUUCCCGGUUUAAAGCCAUGUCAUGGCCGGACUAAACCACCAAGCCUCGACUAGGUACCGGGCAUGGACAAGUUCGCUUCUGACAUCACGAGAUCAAGACCGACAACCAGCCAAUUCAAAGAAAAGGACAAAAUUGACCAGACAUAUCCAAAUGACAUUACUAAGGACCACAACCUUUUGUCACCCCUCUGUGACGCCACAUGCAUAGGAGACAUGACAUACACGUUGCCCGAACAAAUCACAAGCCUAUGUCAAUUAUCCAUAUAAUACAAAUAUGCUAAACAAAUCAGUUAACAUAAAAAUGAAAAGAGUAAUUUAAUCAUAGAGAAAAUACAUUGUCAUGACAUACUCCAUAAUUAAUGUUUUAUCUCAUCAUUACAUUUCAAAAAAAUUCAAAUCAAUAAUAAAUGAUAUUAUAAAUAUUUACCUCACAAUACAUAAAUAUUUUUAAUUAUUCAUAAUAGGGGUCGAAAUGAAGAAUACUAGAUGAUGAAUAAAGGAGGAGGCAUCAGGUAACCACUACAUUCGACCCGCAACUAGCAACAAAGGCCACAUUAUCUGAACUCGAAAUAAGGUAACUUCUUCUUCUCUCUCUCUUUUGUUAUUCUGAAUCCCAUUGCAUAUUUGUGUUUGUAUUUCUACUACUGCACAUCAUUUGUUUGAAGAAAAGCCUCAUUGUCUAAAACGAUUUCUUGUAUGCUGGGAACUCUAGAACCCUUACUGGCUUAAUCAUUUGAGUCUUAGUCAGGGAAGAUAUACAAUACAUCAACACACUUAUAGUAUAUAUAGGUGAUGACUCACGAUGAGAAAAUUGUGCUAUUGCGAUAAACGAGAACAAACAGUUACUACCUCUGGAUUUGAAUCAAUAGUUAAGAUUGGAUUUUUAUUAAAAAAAAGUGGCAUGCACUCCUUUUUUUAUUAUCCACUGCACUUAACUACCUGCCACACAACGUGGCACAUUAUCCAUUUUUAAAAUAGGCAUCCUUAUUUGUACAUAAAUAUAUGCACUAGUACAUGCUAACACAAUUAGAUGUAUAUCUCAAUUUGAGAUUCAAGGAAAGCAAGAGUCUCUUUGCUCCUCUUUCUUCAUCCAAUUAAUUUGGUUCGAUGCAGCCCAAAUUUGGUCUGAUGUGGCCACUUUAUUGUGAUUCAGUGUCACACUGCAAUUGCGGAGAUCAUGCAACCGCAUUAUUGCGAUGCGUCAGGUGAUGUGGUUCGCAAUUUGAU